GGCCUGGUAGUGUACUGGCAACACAUCCUUCCAUGAUGAUACAACUCAGCAUAUUGGAGGAAACACCCCGUUCGAUUCGGGGCCAGGCCA